AGCGAACGCUGGCGGCAGGCUUAACACAUGCAAGUCGAACGGAUCCUUCGGGAUCAGUGGCGGACGGGUGAGUAACACGUGGGAACGUGCCCUUAGGUUCGGAAUAACUCAGGGAAACUUGAGCUAAUACCGGAUGUGCCCUUCGGGGGAAAGAUUUAUCGCCUUUGGAGCGGCCCGCGUCUGAUUAGCUAGUUGGUGGGGUAAUGGCCCACCAAGGCGACGAUCAGUAGCUGGUCUGAGAGGAUGGCCAGCCACACUGGGACUGAGACACGGCCCA
rnacentral:rRNA from 1 species